GGCACGGUUCACUUGACCUUUUUCCCUGCCCUGCCUCCAGAGCUCUGCUCCUCUCCCCAAUCCAAAGGGCACUAACAAUGGAAAGGGAAGGGGGUGGGUAGGCUCAGGUCUUAAGCCCGCCUUCUCUUCCUGGCACCUCCCGCCUCCGGCUUUUCACGUCGUGGCAGCCUUCAGGUCACUCAGUCAUCGGCUACACCUUUGCACCACCCAACAAAAUGGCAGGAUCGAGCUUUGAGGGGAAAACAAUCCUAUGAGAGUUGAAUCUUGAAACACCGUGUGACAAAAUGAUUGCUCAGUCUUGUGGUGGCAUCUUUCACUCCUCCCCCACCAUUACUACACUCCGUGUGGAAAAAGUAUCUGGCACCCAACUGUACAGUCCCUCCAUUCCCACAUGAAGUAGAACCUGCGGCUGACCUACAAUAAACCU